CUUAGAAACACUGCAGCUAUAACUUCACGACGUGGAUGCUGCUUGGGUUCUGAUCACAAUAUUGGUUAGGAAUUUUGAAAGUUGACCCCUAACAACACACACCUGUCUUACCUAAUUGCUUGAACUUAAUUCUGAAUGCCCUUUUACACUUUUUUUCAACCAGGAAAAAGGCCUGUGUCGUAUCAACACUUAUCUAGCAGCAUGCUACAGAAGAGAAACUAUGAGAAUUUUAUGGGGAAUGCACAUUAUCGACCAAAUGACAAAAAAACUUGAUUUCCUAUUUUGGGGAAAGAAAGGUCUCGAUGGAUAUAAGUGUGUACCCUCCAUGAAAUAAAUUACGUCAUCCUUUGAGAAGGCAAAUAGUGAAAGCUACUGAAAUAAGCUGUGAUUGUACUGUACAUACGACAUACGAAGAACACUACAGUUUUGUAAAGUUGUUCUGUUAACUUUUGUACCAAAUAGCAAUAAAAACUAGAGUUGGAACAGUUGGGUUGUACACAAAUAGAGACUGGAAAUCUCUAUUUUGUCCCUGAAUAAUAUUUUUUUUAGAAUUGACCAAAUAAGAAGUGGAGUUUUUUGCAUACUUGAGCGCUGCUGAAAAGAAAUCAUUGGGGUUGGGGGGUGGGGUGGGGAGAAAGUAUAUAAUGCUUGCACCUCAGGUAAAGUCUGUAAAUACAUAAGUUGUAAACCUGCUUGUUUAAAUCCUGUGUGUAUUCUUUUUUUCUAAUGUAGCUCAUCAUUUUGAGCAGUUUCUGCUAUUUGUGCUCUUUCAUUUAAAAUGUUUUUAAAAAAAUUACUCAAUGAUUUGUAUUAUGUUAAAUCCUCUGCAAUCUGUUUGUUGUCUUAACAAAAUUGUUAACGGAAGUAUUGACCGUCUAUAAAUAUGUGCUGCAUAUAUUGAGGUCAGCCAUUCUGAAUUUGGUGCCCUUUUAUUGCAAACUUCAGCAUGUCAACUGAGGCAGACUCCAGGUUCCUGAUCCUUUUCUUAGGGACUGUGGUGGUUUGUGGCUUUUAAGUGUGUGUGUCUACAGAGAAGCAUUUCCUCUGUCGAGCAGCCAAACAGCCAGUAAACGUACCAAAUUGUAUGUGAGUUACUUAAAUUAGUUUUCUAUCAAAUUAAUCAUUUUUGUUGGGAAAUUCAGUUCUUUGGGUGUUUGCCUAAAUUAGUAUGUAAAAAUGUAAACACUAAAUUAUACAUGUGAAUUACCUAUAUUGGAAGCAAUUUUAAAGGAAAUGAAAGUUUUUGGGUAAAUUUUAGGGUUGUAUUUGGAAGUCUCGGUGUGUCUGGCGUUUGGGUCGACUGUGGACACACUCAAGUUAAUUACCGACAGAUUGAUUCUGCAUAAGGAACUGCGUGGCUGAGCCUUCUGCUAAUCGGGGAAGGAGGUAAUCUGUUUCUAGACCUCAGUUGUCUUCCCAUUUUUGGUUGUUUUGAAGGAGCAAAGUUUUUCUCAGUGUACAUGCAAUUUGGGUUUUAAAGAUAAGAUAGCCACCAGCUGGCUUACUAGAUGUUUUAAACUUUUGUUCCCUUAAUAUGCUGUCCAUGGCUGAGUUUAUUCAGCAGUAUGUGGCUUUAGCAACCACAAAAUAUUUUAUUAAGAAAACUGUUUCAACAAUAAAUUUGCACUGUUAAUUUUUCUUGCCCUGCCCUUCUCCAUUAGAGCAAGGGUGAAGUCCUAAAAGAAUCCUAAUUUUUUUUUUUUCCUUUGCGUUUUUUUUAUUAUGCAACAUGAAGCAUACUUGAUAGAGAAAGAAGUCUUAACUCCCGGGUUGAAGGGAGACCUAAUUUGAGAUCAGUCUGCUGGCAUUGCAAUGAAGUGCUUUGUAUCAGGAAAGUAUACACUAUUUACCUGUUUUCCUGUUCACAAGCUGAGCCAUAUGUACAUAAUCUAGAUUUUUGUUUUCAUAGUUUUGCACUUUUAUAGCCUAUUUUUGAAGAUUAACACAUUUGCAAGAUGAUUGACUUGAUCUUUGCCUAAUCCAAUGAGUGUUACAGAAAGCUUGCUGUGACUAUAAAUGUAAAUCUUAAAAGGGGAUAUGUGAUAAUAGAGGGCUGAAAUUUAAAACUGUAUUUAAAAAAAAAAUCACCAAAUCUAUUUGAAAACAAGCCAAUUUGUGUUAUGCUGAAAUUUUUUGGGCUUUCAGAUUUCUCCUUUCUAACCACAUUUCUGAAUGCAUAGAAAUAUCAGUUUUCCCCACAGCCCUUGUACUCCAAUAUAUGUUUUUU